rnacentral:rRNA from 1 species
CAGUCGCCGCGGUAAUACAGAGGGUGCGAGCGUUAAUCGGAUUUACUGGGCGUAAAGCGUGCGUAGGCGGCUAAUUGAGUCGGAUGUGAAAUCCCCGAGCUUAACUUGGGAAUUGCAUUCGAUACUGGUUAGCUAGAGUGUGGGAGAGGAUGGUAGAAUUCCAGGUGUAGCGGUGAAAUGCGUAGAGAUCUGGAGGAAUACCGAUGGCGAAGGCAGCCAUCUGGCCUAAUACUGACGCUGAGGUACGAAAGCAUGGGGAGCAAACAGGAUUAGAGACCCGUGAGUCCCUGUCUCUUAUACC